CUCUUAUCAAGAGAGGCGGAGGGACCAGGCCCAAUGAUGCCCGGCAACCAUUAAGUAGCGACUUAAAAGGUGCUAAUUCCUGCAGGAGAUCAUGACCUGAAAGAUAAGAG
rnacentral:ncRNA from 2 species